AUUGAACGCUGGCGGCAGGCCUAACACAUGCGAGUCGAAUGGUAACAGGAAACAGCUUGCUGUUUCGCUGACGAGUGGCGGACGGGUGAGUAAUGUCUGGGAAACUGCCUGAUGGAGGGGGAUAACUACUGGAAACGGUAGCUAAUACCGCAUAACGUCGCAAGACCAAAGAGGGGGACCUUCGGGCCUCUUGCCAUCAGAUGUGCCCAGAUGGGAUUAGCUAGUAGGUGGGGUAACGGCUCACCUAGGCGACGAUCCCUAGCUGGUCUGAGAGGAUGACCAGCCACACUGGAACUGAGACACGGUCCAGACUCCUACGGGAGGCAGCAGUGGGGAAUAUUGCACAAUGGGCGCAAGCCUGAUGCAGCCAUGCCGCGUGUACGAAGAAGGCCUUCGGGUUGUAAAGUACUUUCAGCGGGGAGGAAGGGAGUAAAGUUAAUACCUUUGCUCAUUGACGUUACCCGCAGAAGAAGCACCGGCUAACUCCGUG
rnacentral:rRNA from 1 species